AACAGAGUGGCUUAGUGGAAAGAGCAUGUGUCUGGGAAUCUGAAGACCUGGGUUCUAGUCCCAGCUCUGUCA
rnacentral:tRNA from 1 species